rnacentral:rRNA from 1 species
AUAUAAUUUUUAUAAAUAAAUAAAAUAAUAUUUAAAAUUUUUGUGUUAUAGUAUUAUUUAAAAAAUAAUAAUUAUAUUAAUAUUAUAUUGUAUUGUAAAAGAUUAUUAAAUUAAAUAUGUAUUAAGAUAAAUUAAUUAUUUGUACCUUUUGUAUCAGGGUUGAUUAAAAAUUUUUAAAUAAAAUAAAUAUUUCGAAUUUAAAUGAGUUAAUAUUAAAUUUAAUUUAAUAUUAUAAAAUUAUUAAAAAUUUAAUGUUAGUAGUGAAAUGUUAAUCGUAUUUAAUUAUAUCUAAUUUUAUAAUAAAUGAAUUUAAUUCAUUAAUUUAAUUAAUUAUUAGUAUUAAAUUUUUUUAUUAAAUAAUUAUUUUAUUAAAUUAAAAAAAAUUAAAGGAUAAGCUUUAAUUUUAUUAUUAAAAAUAUUUUAUUUAAUUUUUUAAUAAAUAUAUGUGUUAAAAUUAUAAUUUUUUAAAAUUUUGUAAUAAUUUAUAUAAUUUUUAUAUAAAAAAAUUUAAUUAAUUAAAUUUUAAUUUUAUUAUUAUAAUAUAAUAUUUAAUAAUUUUAUUAUUAAAAAUAAUGAUUAAAUUAGUAAAAUAAAUUAAUUAUAUAAAAUAUUUUUUAUUAAAAUAUUAGUUUGAUGAAUUAGGCAAAUAAUGUAUUUACCUGUUUAUUAAAAACAUGGUUUUAAGAAAAUUAAUUUAAAAUCUAAUCUGCUCAAUGAAUAAUUUUAAAUAGCUGCAAUAUAAAUAAUUGUGCAAAGGUAGCAAAAUAAUUUGUUUCAUAAUUGGGAACUAGAAUGAAUGAUUAAAUAAAAUAUUGACUUUAUUAAAUUAAUUAAUAUUAAAUUUUAUUUUUAAGUAAAAAAUCUUAAAUUUUAUUAUUAGACGAUAAGACCCUAUAGAACUUUAUAUUUAUAUUUUGAAUAAUUUAUUGAAAUUUAUUUAUUUUAAAAUUUAAAUAUUUAAUUGGGGGUAUUAAAAAAUAAUUUAAAAUUUUUUUAUUAUUUAAGUUUUUUAUAUAAAUUUUUAUUUUUGAAGAGUGAUUAAUAUAAAAUGAUAGAUUAAGUUACCUUAGGGAUAACAGCGUAAUUUUUUUGGAGAGUUCAUAUUGAUAAAAAAGAUUGCGACCUCGAUGUUGAAUUAAGAUAAAUAAUAAAAGUAGAAUUUUAUUAAUUAAGUCUGUUCGACUUUUAAAAUCUUACAUGAUUUGAGUUAAAAUCGGUGUAAGCCAGAUUGGUUUUUAUCUAUAGUAAAUUAAUUAAUAUUUGUACGAAAGGACUUUAUUUUUUAAACAAUAAUUAUUAAAUUUUAUGAUUUUUAUUAAAUAAAUUAAAAUUAAGGAAUUAAAUAAUUUAAAAAAAUUGA